AUGACUACUUGGCCUAUUCGAAUCCACGACCACCCACCUCUGUACAAAAAUUGUGUUCCUGAUAAAAAAAUGUUACUUGCACGAAAGCAAGCACACAGUCAAGGAUAUAUGGUAAAAUCAAAUUACCUCUUUGGACAGGAUGUUCAGCCUCAUGAUCUCUUCUAUAUCUACAGCCUCUCUGCAAAAACGGAAAACCAAAUUAGCAAUUUGGGAGGAACACGACCAGGUGAAACGUAUGGUGAUGUUGACUGGAAGUUUGGAGCAGAAAUCAUUAGGAUUGAGGUUUCUCACCUCCUACCGUGCAAUCCCCACCUACACACAUGGAACUAA
rnacentral:rRNA from 1 species